rnacentral:rRNA from 1 species
GAUGAACGCUGGCGGCGUGCCUAAUACAUGCAAGUCGAGCGAACAGACGAGGAGCUUGCUCCUCUGACGUUAGCGGCGGACGGGUGAGUAACACGUGGAUAACCUACCUAUAAGACUGGGAUAACUUCGGGAAACCGGAGCUAAUACCGGAUAACAUGUUGAACCGCAUGGUUCAACAGUGAAAGACGGUCUUGCUGUCACUUAUAGAUGGAUCCGCGCCGCAUUAGCUAGUUGGUAAGGUAACGGCUUACCAAGGCAACGAUGCGUAGCCGACCUGAGAGGGUGAUCGGCCACACUGGAACUGAGACACGGUCCAGACUCCUACGGGAGGCAGCAGUAGGGAAUCUUCCGCAAUGGGCGAAAUCCUGACGGAGCAACGCCGCGUGAGUGAAGAAGGUCUUCGGAUCGUAAAACUCUGUUAUUAGGGAAGAACAAAUGUGUAAGUAACUAUGCACGUCUUGUCGGUACCUAAUCAGAAAGCCACGGCUAACUACGUG